rnacentral:rRNA from 1 species
ACCCGCUGAACUUAAGCAUAUCAAUAAGCGGAGGAAAAGAAACUAACAAGGAUUCCCCUAGUAACUGCGAGUGAAGCGGGAAAAGCUCAAAUUUAAAAUCUGUCAGUCUUUGGCUGUCCGAGUUGUAAUCUAGAGAAGUGUUAUCCGCGCUGGACCGUGUACAAGUCUCCUGGAAUGGAGCGUCAUAGAGGGUGAGAAUCCCGUCUUUGACACGGACUGCCAGGGCUUUGUGAUGCACUCUCAAAGAGUCGAGUUGUUUGGGAAUGCAGCUCAAAAUGGGUGGUAAAUUCCAUCUAAAGCUAAAUAUUGGCGAGAGACCGAUAGCGAACAAGUACCGUGAGGGAAAGAUGAAAAGAACUUUGGAAAGAGAGUUAAACAGUACGUGAAAUUGCUGAAAGGGAAACGCUUGAAGUCAGUCGCGUUGUCCAGGGAUCAACCUUGCUUUUGCUUGGUGUACUUUCUGGUUGACGGGUCAGCAUCAAUUUCGACUAUUGGAAAAAGAUUGGGGGAAUGUGGCAUCUUCGGAUGUGUUAUAGCCCUUGGUUGCAUACAAUGGUUGGGAUUGAGGAACUCAGCACGCCGCAAGGCCGGGUUUUUAACCACGUACGUGCUUAGGAUGCUGGCAUAAUGGCUUUAAUCGACCCGUCUUGAAACACGGACCAAGGAGUCUAACAUGCCUGCGAGUGUUUGGGUGGAAAACCCGAGCGCGUAAUGAAAGUGAAAGUUGAGAUCCUUGUCAUGGGGAGCAUCGACGCCCGGACCAGACCUUUUGUGACGGUUCCGCGGUAGAGCAUGUAUGUUGGGACCCGAAAGAUGGUGAACUAUGCCUGAAUAGGGUGAAGCCAGAGGAAACUCUGGUGGAGGCUCGUAGCGAUUCUGACGUGCAAAUCGAUCGUCAAAUUUGGGUAUAGGGGCGAAAGACUAAUCGAACCAUCUAGUA